rnacentral:rRNA from 1 species
GACGAACGCUGGCGGCGUGCUUAACACAUGCAAGUCGAACGGUGACGAUCAAGCUUGCUUGGUCUGAUCAGUGGCGAACGGGUGAGUAACACGUGAGUAACCUGCCCCAGACUCUGGGAUAACCCCGGGAAACCGGAGCUAAUACCGGAUAUGACAUGCCCCUGCAUGGGGAGUGUGUGGAAAGUUUUUUCGGUCUGGGAUGGACUCGCGGCCUAUCAGCUUGUUGGUGAGGUAAUGGCUCACCAAGGCGACGACGGGUAGCCAGCCUGAGAGGGCGACCGGCCACACUGGGACUGAGACACGGCCCAGACUCCUACGGGAGGCAGCAGUGGGGAAUAUUGCACAAUGGGCGAAAGCCUGAUGCAGCGACGCCGCGUGAGGGAUGACGGCCUUCGGGUUGUAAACCUCUUUUAGCAGGGAAGAAGCGCAAGUGACGGUACCUGCAGAAGAAGCACCGGCUAACUACGUGCCAGCCGCCGCAGUAAGAC